AUUGAACGCUAGCGGCAUGCCUUACACAUGCAAGUCGAACGGAGUGGCGAACGGGUGAGUAAUGUAUCGGAACGUGCCCAGUAGCGGGGGAUCACUACGCGAAAGCGUAGCUAAUACCGCAUACUAUUGGAGCGGCCGAUAGCGGAUUAGCUAGGUGGUGGGGUAACGGCUCACCAAGGCGAAGAUCCGUAGCUGGUUUGAGAGGACGAACAGCCACACUGGGACUGAGACACGGCCCAGACUCCUACGGGAGGCAGCAGUGGGGAAUUUUGGACAAUGGGGGAAACCCUGAUCCAGCCAUGCCGCGUGUGGGAUGAAGGCCUUCGGGUUGUAAAGCACUUUUAGCAGGGAGGCGGUACCUGCAGAAUAAGCACCGGCUAACUACGUGCCAGCAGCCGCGGUAAUUC
rnacentral:rRNA from 1 species